rnacentral:rRNA from 1 species
AACGAACGCUGGCGGCAGGCUUAACACAUGCAAGUCGAGCGCCCCGCAAGGGGAGCGGCAGACGGGUGAGUAACGCGUGGGAACGUACCUUUUGGUUCGGAACAACUCCGGGAAACUGGAGCUAAUACCGGAUAAGCCCUAACGGGGAAAGAUUUAUCGCCGAAAGAUCGGCCCGCGUCUGAUUAGCUAGUUGGUGAGGUAACGGCUCACCAAGGCGACGAUCAGUAGCUGGUCUGAGAGGAUGAUCAGCCACACUGGGACUGAGACACGGCCCAGACUCCUACGGGAGGCAGCAGUGGGGAAUAUUGGACCAUGGGCGCAAGCCUGAUCCAGCCAUGCCGCGUGAGUGAUGAAGGCCCUAGGGUUGUAAAGCUCUUUUGUCCGGGAAGAUAAUGACUGUACCGGAAGAAUAAGCCCCGGCUAACUUCGUG